UCUUAUGGACUAGCAAAGAAAGUGGUUUCAUGACAUGGAAUCCAUUCCUGGUGAAGAUACUGUGAA
rnacentral:pre_miRNA from 1 species